GACGAACGCUGGCGGCGCGCCUAACACAUGCAAGUCGAACGGAGCUGAGAGAAGCUUGCUUUUCUUAGCUUAGUGGCGAACGGGUGAGUAACGCGUGAGUAACCUGCCCUGGAGUGGGGGACAACAGUUGGAAACGACUGCUAAUACCGCAUAAGCCCACGAUCCGGCAUCGGAUUGAGGGAAAAGGAUUUACUCGCUUCAGGAUGGACUCGCGUCCAAUUAGCUAGUUGGUGAGGUAACGGCCCACCAAGGCGACGAUUGGUAGCCGGACUGAGAGGUUGAACGGCCACAUUGGGACUGAGACACGGCCCAGACUCCUACGGGAGGCAGCAGUGGGGGAUAUUGCACAAUGGGGGAAACCCUGAUGCAGCGACGCCGCGUGGAGGAAGAAGGUUUUCGGAUUGUAAACUCCUGUCGUUAGGGACGAUAAUGACGGUACCUAACAAGAAAGCACCGGCUAACUACGUG
rnacentral:rRNA from 1 species